GCUCAGAACGAACGCUGGCGGCAGGCUUAACACAUGCAAGUCGAGCGCCCCGCAAGGGGAGCGGCAGACGGGUGAGUAACGCGUGGGAAUCUACCCAUCUCUACGGAACAACUCCGGGAAACUGGAGCUAAUACCGUAUACGUCCUUCGGGAGAAAGAUUUAUCGGAGAUGGAUGAGCCCGCGUUGGAUUAGCUAGUUGGUGGGGUAAUGGCCUACCAAGGCGACGAUCCAUAGCUGGUCUGAGAGGAUGAUCAGCCACACUGGGACUGAGACACGGCCCAGACUCCUACGGGAGGCAGCAGUGGGGAAUAUUGGACAAUGGGCGAAAGCCUGAUCCAGCCAUGCCGCGUGAGUGAUGAAGGCCCUAGGGUUGUAAAGCUCUUUCAACGGUGAAGAUAAU
rnacentral:rRNA from 1 species